CGGGGUGUAGCGCAGCCUGGUAGCGCACCUGCUUCGGGAGCAGGGAGUCCCCGGUUCAAAUCCGGGCACCCCGACCA
rnacentral:tRNA from 1 species